rnacentral:tRNA from 1 species
GUAUUUUUAGUUCAAUUUUGAAGAAUGCAAGUCUCCAAAACCUAAUGUCAUAAGUUCAAAUCCUAUAAAGUGUG